GUGCACGCUGGCGGUAGGCCUCACCCCUGCAAGUCGAACGGCAGCACAGUAAGAGCUUGCUCUUACGGGUGGCGAGUGGCGGACGGGUGAGGAAUACAUCGGAAUCUACUUUUUCGUGGGGGAUAACGUAGGGAAACUUACGCUAAUACCGCAUACGACCUACGGGUGAAAGCAGGGGAUCUUCGGACCUUGCGCGAUUGAAUGAGCCGAUGUCGGAUUAGCUAGUUGGCGGGGUAAAGGCCCACCAAGGCGACGAUCCGUAGCUGGUCUGAGAGGAUGAUCAGCCACACUGGAACUGAGACACGGUCCAGACUCCUACGGGAGGCAGCAGUGGGGAAUAUUGGACAAUGGGCGCAAGCCUGAUCCAGCCAUACCGCGUGGGUGAAGAAGGCCUUCGGGUUGUAAAGCCCUUUUGUUGGGAAAGAAAAGCAGCAGGUUAAUACCCCGCUGUUCUGACGGUACCCAAAGAAUAAGCACCGGCUAACUUCGUG
rnacentral:rRNA from 1 species